GAGUUUGAUCAUGGCUCAGAAUCAACGCUGGCGGCGUGCCUCAGACAUGCAAGUCGAACGAUUAAACUUUCCUUCGGGAAAGAUAUAAAGUGGCGCACGGGUGAGUAACACGUAAGUAAUCUACCUUUGAGUGGGGAAUAACGUCGGGAAACCGACGCUAAUACCGCAUAAUGCAGCGGCACCGCAAGGUGACAGUUGUUAAAGGAGCAAUCCGCUUAAAGAGGAGCUUGCGGCAGAUUAGCUAGUUGGUAAGGUAAUGGCUUACCAAGGCUACGAUCUGUAACCGGUCUAAGAGGACGGUCGGUCACACUGACACUGAAUAACGGGUCAGACUCCUACGGGAGGCAGCAGUCGGGAAUUUUGGGCAAUGGGCGAAAGCCUGACCCAGCAACGCCGCGUGAAGGAUGAAGUAUUUCGGUAUGUAAACUUCGUAAGAAUAGGAAGAAUAAAUGACGGUACUAUUUGUAAGGUCCGGCUAACUACGUGCCAGCAGCCGCUGUAAU
rnacentral:rRNA from 1 species